UGUUGUGGUUAAAAAGCUCGUAGUUGGAUCUCGGCGGUCUGAGGGCGGUUCGCUUGAUUGAGUGCUACUGCUCUAUAGGCCGUGGUUUUGCCAGAGGUCUCGGGGUGCUCUUAACCGAGUGUCCUGCGAUGCUGGCAGGUUUACUUUGAAAAAAUUAGAGUGCUCAAAGCAGGCUUUUACGCCUGAAUAUUCGUGCAUGGAAUAAUAGAAUAGGAAGUCGUUUCUAUUUUGUUGGUUUUCGGAAAUCGACUUAAUGAUUAAUAGGGACAGUCGGGGGCAUUUGUAUUCAAACGACAGAGGUGAAAUUCUUGGACCGUUUGAAGACAAACUACUGCGAAAGCAUUUGCCAAGAAUGUUUUCAUUAAUCAAGAACGAAAGUUAGAGGUUCGAAGGCGAUUAGAUACCGCCCUAGUUCUAACCAUAAACGAUGCCAGCUAGCGAUCUU
rnacentral:rRNA from 1 species